rnacentral:rRNA from 1 species
ACGCACGCUGGCGGCGUGCUUAACCCCUGCCCGUCGAACGGAAAGGCCCUGCUUUUGUGGGGUGCUCGAGUGGCGAACGGGUGAGUAACACGUGAGUAACCUGCCCUUGACUUUGGGAUAACUUCAGGAAACUGGGGCUAAUACCGGAUAGGAGCUCCUGCUGCAUGGUGGGGGUUGGAAAGUUUCGGCGGUUGGGGAUGGACUCGCGGCUUAUCAGCUUGUUGGUGGGGUAGUGGCUUACCAAGGCUUUGACGGGUAGCCGGCCUGAGAGGGUGACCGGCCACAUUGGGACUGAGAUACGGCCCAGACUCCUACGGGAGGCAGCAGUGGGGAAUAUUGCACAAUGGGCGGAAGCCUGAUGCAGCAACGCCGCGUGCGGGAUGACGGCCUUCGGGUUGUAAACCGCUUUCGCCUGUGACGAAGCGUGAGUGACGGUAAUGGGUAAAGAAGCACCGGCUAACUACGUG